UUUCCGUAGGUGAACCUGCGGAAGGAUCAUUAGUGAACGUCCUCACGCGCUUAUAACUAUUACAAACCUCUGAGAACCAUGCCCUACGGGGCUAUUUUAUAAUCAUGGUGUAAUGAGCGUCAUAUAUCAUAACAAAACAAAACUUUGAACAACGGAUCUCUUGGCUCUC
rnacentral:misc_RNA from 1 species